CAGUCGUACCUUCGGGUAAUCAGCCUUUCGAGUGCGAUUCUGUGGAGUGUGAGGAGCUUAACACCUUCAUGCUUUGCAUAUUUGUGCUCUUGGGUGUACUUGGACGUGCGGUAGGUUAACAUCAAUUUCGGACGUCAUAAAAUGGCUGGAGGAAUGUAGCUUCGAUCUCGUAUUGAAGUGUUAUAGCCUUCGGUAAAUGUGAUGAACGAGAUUGAGGAUUGCAACGGAUACCCUUCGGGGCUACCUGUCUGGUCUCUGAUCGUUGCUCUGGUGCCGAAAGCUUGCUUACGGUCAUCAAAGUCGAUGGUCAAUAGGUUAGAACGGGUUAAA
rnacentral:rRNA from 1 species